rnacentral:rRNA from 1 species
UACGUAGGGUGCAAGCGUUAAUCGGAAUUACUGGGCGUAAAGCGUGCGCAGGCGGUUCUGUAAGUCUGUCGUGAAAUCCCCGGGCUCAACCUGGGAAUUGCGAUGGAGACUGCAAGGCUAGAAUCUGGCAGAGGGGGGUAGAAUUCCACGUGUAGCAGUGAAAUGCGUAGAGAUGUGGAGGAACACCGAUGGCGAAGGCAGCCCCCUGGGUCAAGAUUGACGCUCAUGCACGAAAGCGUGGGGAGCAAACAGG